rnacentral:lncRNA from 1 species
AUAUAUCAAAAAUUAAUUUUUAAUUUGUAUGCAAAUACAAAUAGUUUUAUUGAAAUCACAUAUCAUUAUGUUAAAUAAUAAUUAAGCCGGUGAUACCGCUUUUGAAACAGACACACAAUAAGCCCAUACUUCAUCUCUUUUCUUUAAAUAUUUGGAUUCGUUUCCGAUUAAACUAGGUCUAUCCGCGAUAUAUUUAACAAGUGUGUCAUGACACUCUUUGCCUUCUUGAACAAGCUCCUUGCAACAAGGAAUUGAUACAACUCCAUCUCCAAAAACUUGAGAAAUGAUCUUGAGCGCACAGUUUGGACUGAUUUUAACAACACAUUGAUCCCAUAACUUUUUUAGCUCAUUUUCUUCUACACCAAAUGAAGGCACACAUAUAAUCGCCACAACUAGAACAACAAAAGACAACAUAAUAAAAUUAAGCUUCGCCAUGGUUGUUAUGUGUUUGAGGAUUUACAGUUUAACUUUUCUCAAGUUAGAGAAAUAAAUAAGUUUUUAAAUUUCUGAUGUUAUUUGAAUAAACGAGGGUUACCCUAUUUAUAGAUACGAAUAAUCAAUAUUUAACAUUUAUUUUCGAUUAAUGAAUUUUGUUUUUGACGUUUUUUGUUCAUUAACAUGUGUUAAGUUACGUUUUUUGCUUAAGUUAUUAACUGCUUAGGUUUAUAGUUUAUAAAUAAUUAAAUUAGGAUUCUUGUAUUAUACAAAUGAACAUACUAAGAACUUAUAUAAGUAUUUAAAUUAUAAACUACAGAACAUUUUUAAUGAAUAUUGUUUUUAUGUCAGCAACCUAUAAUUUGGUGGUUGUAUAUCAACUUACUAACAAAAACCAAAAGUACACUCAACAUUUGAUUAAUCUAAAAAUGAUUUAAAGUAUAUAUCAAUAUAUCUCUCUCUGAGAUUAAAGGAGAUAGUUCCAGAUUUUAUAUAUUCUUUAUUUGGUGAUGUAGGAUGCUUAAGAAUAUAAUUUUAUCCUUUUAAUUCAUUAAUUGUAUAAAGUUUUAUAUCGAGAUGGUUAUUAGGUAAAACAUGACUCCACUUGGGAAAGUAAUCUACAAAUUUAAAUUCCCUCUACAAGAAACAAAACAUGAAAUCUAUAAAGAAUGAAAUUUAAUAAAAAAGAAAUAAAAAAUGAAACCAAAUUUUCGAAUUUAAACUUGCGAUAUCAUAAUUUAUCAAUUUCUAACUUACAUAAUAGUUUAAUUACUAUAUAUCUUUCAAGGAAAUUAAUGUGUUUCAUAUUAAAAAUAUAAAUAGUAUAUAUAUAUACUUACAUAAAAUUAACGAAAUGUUAUUUUUAUUCUUGAAUGAAUUUUUUUAAUUGAGUUGAGUCCUUUUAAAAAUGUUUCAUGCCACAGUUUUGAGGUGUGACUCCGUUUGUAUUUGGUUAUUUUUUUUAAUCAUUCUAAAGAUUUUAUUUUCUAUCAAUUUCAUCAAAAUAUAUGUAAUAACUCCAAAAUUUAAACCUGAAAACAUAUGUGAUGGUUCAAAGAAAAUGGUAUAUAGUUUGUGCGACCACGUGCAAUGUAAUAAGUAUGCUGCGGUUUUGUGGAUUCAAGAAAUGCUAUAUUUUUAAGAUUACAAAUCAGUGUUUAUUUUGAUAUUUCGUCUUUUUAAUUCAUAAAAACUGUGAGUAUUAAUUUUUUUUUUAAGUGUUAAUAUCUUUAAUCUGGGACUAGACCUUUUUAUUUUGCAUCUAAAACUCAGAAAAGGGAAUAUAUAAAGUAAUACAAAAGAAAAUAAGUAACACAAAACGAUAAAUAUAAAUCUCACAUAAAUAUAUUAAAAAUUAUUUUUUAUUUUGUAUGCAAAUACAAAUAGUUUUAUUAAAAUCACAUAUCAUUAUGUUAAAUAAUAAUUAAGCCGGUGAUACCGCUUUUGAAACAGAUACACAAUAAACCCAUACUGCAUCUCUUUUCUUUAAAUAUUUGGAUUCGUUUCCGAUUAAACUAGGUCUAUCCGCGAUAUAUUUGACAAGUGUGUCAUGACACUCUUUGCCUUCUUGAACAAGCUCCUUGCAACAAGGAAUGGAUACAACUCCAUCUCCAAAAACUUGAGAAAUGAUCUUGAGCGCACAGUUUGGACUGAUUUUAACAACACAUUGAUCCCAUAACUUUUUUGGCUCAUUUUCUUCUACAGCUAAUGAAGGUACACAUGUAAUCGCCACAACUAGAACAACAAAAGACAACAUAAUAAAGUUAAUCUUUGCCAUGGUUGUUAUGUGUUUGAAGAUUUACAGUUUAACUUUUUUUCAAGUUAG